UCAAAUUUCAGAAAAGAGUUGUUUCAGUUUCGAGUGCAAACAAGAAUGAAGGGAGAUUGGUUGGAAUUGAAGUUGGAGAAGGAAAUAGGAGACGCCAUUUCCCGAACCCGAUUCGCGCCCCACUCUAACACCCUCCUCAUCUCUUCUUGGGACUCCAGUCUUCGCCUCUUCGACGUCGACGCCUCUCUCCUCAGACUCCAAGCUCCCUCGCAAGCUCCCCUCCUCGAUUGCUGCUUCCAGGACGACGCUGUCGCCUUCGCCGCCGCCUCUGAUGGACUAAUCCGAAGGUAUGACUUGCAUUCAGGACUUGUUGAUACACUGGGUAGUCACGAUGAUAUGGCAACAUGUAUUGGAUAUUCCAAUGAAACAUGUCAGUUGGUCACAUCCGGAUUUGACAAAAAGUUACUGUUAUGGGACAUGCAUAUGAAGAAGACUUCUUUAUGUUUGAGAAGUCUAGAUGCAGAGGUGGACUCCAUGUCUGUCUCUGGAUUUAAUGUUACCGUAGCCAUUGGAGCAUCAAUGCUUGUUUAUGAUUUACGUUACUUUGACCAACCAGUUGAGUCAAAAGAGGCAUUCAAUGGAACACACUUAAGAUGUGUCAGUUCAAUUCCAGAUGCAGAAGGAUUCGCAGUUGGGUCUGUAGACGGACGAGUAUCACUGCAGAUUUCCAAUCCAUUCAGUUCAAACGACAUUAGAUAUAUAUUCCGGUGUCAUCCAAAAUCGAAGGAUGGACGGCAUUAUUUGGUAUCAGUGAACGACAUUGCAUUCAGUCCACUUGUAUCUGGUGCCUUUGCCACUGGUGACAAUGAAGGUUAUGUUACCAUAUGGGAUGCUGGAAGUAGGAGAAGACUAGUUGAGUUGCCCAGGUAUCCAAAUAGUGUUGCAUCCUUAUCAUACAACCACACAGGUCAGCUUCUGGCUGUAGCAUCAAGCCAUACUUACCAAGAAGCAAAGGAAAUGUGAGUUGGUUGUGGGAUCAAAAUUACCUCAAAAAGGUCGAGUAGUUAUCCCCAAUUAAAAGAAACGAGGAAAAAAAAUGUUACAAUGUUCUUCUCUAGUAGUGUGUGUCUAUAAAAGGAAAACCAGACGCAUCACACAUUAUGAUGCGUGUUAUUAACCAUAACCAUGUCAGACGAGGAACACCACUUCGAGUCAAAGGCUGAUGCUGGGGCAUCAAAGACAUUUCCCCAGCAAGCUGGAACCAUCCGCAAAAAUGGUUACAUUGUCAUCAAGAACAGGCCAUGCAAGGUUGUGGAGGUUUCCACUUCCAAAACUGGCAAGCAUGGACACGCAAAGUGUCACUUUGUUGGAAUUGACAUAUUCACUGGGAAAAAGCUUGAGGAUAUUGUCCCAUCUUCCCAUAACUGUGAUGUUCCUCAUGUUAAUCGCAUUGACUACCAGCUCAUCGACAUCUCAGAGGAUGGGUUUGUGAGUCUGCUGACUGAGACUGGUGGUACUAAGGAUGACCUUAGGCUUCCAACCGAUGAAAAUCUGCUUACGCAGAUCAAGGAUGGAUUUGCUGAGGGCAAAGAUCUGGUUGUGUCUGUUAUGUCUUCCAUGGGUGAGGAGCAGAUUUGUGCCCUUAAGGAUAUUGGCCCCAAGUAAUAGAUUUGGAAUUGAGAUUAUAUAUUGUAUUUAUUUUUAUUUUUCACUUUUAUGUGGGUUUGUAUACUAAAUCAGCCAAAGUUUGUGCCAUUCUUACAAGAUGUGGUAACACUUGAAUGGCUUUAUUUGGGAAUCCUUGACCUAUAUUUUAUUGUGUUGUGCAACA